GGGGGUGUGGCUCAGUGGUAGAGCACUUGCUUGGCAUGAAUGAGGCCCUAGGUUUGACUCCGGGCACUGCAA
rnacentral:tRNA from 1 species